CAUUUCUUUGAUCUGAUGUCUUGCAAAUUUUAAGGUGGAUGUCAGAAAAUUAUAAUUUAUGAUUAACUUGGUUAUCUCUUAUUUCAUGCCAUGCUUAAUUUUGCUAUGCUUCUGCAAAUUGAAUUUAUUUCUUUUUGUAGAUAAUCACUAUCUUUUAUCUGUGGAUUUGUCCAAAGACAUGUCAGAUUCUUCCUUUGAUCCUUAGACAAGAUGAAGCUUUCAAGCAUGAGUUUGUUAUUUUUUCUUUACUUGGUCUCAGUCUUCAAUGCAAAAAACAUAUAUUCUACUUGCACAUAUAGUUUUUAUUCAAAUCCAGUACCUUAUAGUUCAAUGCAUGGAAGACUUUGGAAAUAAUGCUUCAGUAAAAACAAGAAUUAUGUUUAUGAAAGCUUUUAGGAAUAUCACUAACGUUGUGGACCUUCAGGUGAUUGAUAUGCUGCUUUUCAAAGGGAUGGAAGAGCUGAAAAACGUUGUGGACCAUUCAAAGCAGAGGCAUCAUAUCAUUGGUCAGUACGUAGUUGGUCAGCACGAGCAAGUGCCGGAUUCAGCCUCAAAAGACCCGGCCAUCUCUCCCUUUCUGAAGAAUUUCUACAGCAGCAAUUACUUUUGAAACU
rnacentral:lncRNA from 1 species